GACGAACGCUGGCGGCGUGCUUAACACAUGCAAGUCGAACGAUGAACCAGGGCUUGCCCUGGGGAUUAGUGGCGAACGGGUGAGUAACACGUGGGCAACCUGCCCCAGACACCGGGAUAACCAUCCGAAAGGAUGGCUAAUACCGGAUAUGACCACUUUGGGCAUCCAACGGUGGUGGAAAGGAUUCUGGUCUGGGAUGGGCCCGCGGCCUAUCAGCUAGUUGGUGGGGUAAUGGCCUACCAAGGCGACGACGGGUAGCCGGCCUGAGAGGGCGACCGGCCACACUGGGACUGAGACACGGCCCAGACUCCUACGGGAGGCAGCAGUGGGGAAUAUUGCGCAAUGGGCGAAAGCCUGACGCAGCGACGCCGCGUGAGGGACGAAGGUCUUCGGAUUGUAAACCUCUUUCAGCAGGGACGAAGCGAAAGUGACUGUACCUGCAGAAGAAGCACCGGCUAACUACGUGCCAGCAGCCGCGGUAA
rnacentral:rRNA from 1 species